UUGACCUCGGAUCAGGUAGGAAUACCCGCUGAACUUAAGCAUAUCAAUAAGCGGAGGAAAAGAAACCAACAGGGAUUGCCCUAGUAACGGCGAGUGAAGCGGCAACAGCUCAAAUUUGAAAUCUGGCUCUCGGGCCCGAGUUGUAAUUUGUAGAGGAUACUUUUGAUGCGGUGCCUUCCGAGUUCCCUGGAACGGGACGCCAUAGAGGGUGAGAGCCCCGUCUGGUUGGAUGCCAAAUCUCUGUAAAGUUCCUUCGACGAGUCGAGUAGUUUGGGAAUGCUGCUCUAAAUGGGAGGUAUAUGUCUUCUAAAGCUAAAUACCGGCCAGAGACCGAUAGCGCACAAGUAGAGUGAUCGAAAGAUGAAAAGCACUUUGAAAAGAGAGUUAAAAAGUACGUGAAAUUGUUGAAAGGGAAGCGUUUAUGACCAGACUUGGGCUUGGUUAAUCAAUCUGGGGUUCUCCCCAGUGCACUUUUCCAGUCCAGGCCAGCAUCAGUUUUCGCCGGGGGAUAAAGACUUCGGGAAUGUGGCUCUCUUCGGGGAGUGUUAUAGCCCGUUGUGUAAUACCCUGGCGGGGACUGAGGUUCGCGCAUCUGCAAG
rnacentral:rRNA from 1 species